rnacentral:rRNA from 1 species
CUACGUGCCAGCAGCCGCGGUAAUACGUAGGGCGCGAGCGUUGUCCGGAAUUAUUGGGCGUAAAGAGCUUGUAGGCGGUUUGUCGCGUCUGCUGUGAAAGGCCGGGGCUUAACUCCGUGUAUUGCAAUGGGUACGGGCAGACUAGAGUGCAGUAGGGGAGACUGGAAUUCCUGGUGUAGCGGUGGAAUGCGCAGAUAUCAGGAGGAACACCGAUGGCGAAGGCAGGUCUCUGGGCUGUAACUGACGCUGAGAAGCGAAAGCAUGGGGAGCGAACAGGAUUAGAUACCCUGGUAGUCCAUGCCGUAAACGUUGGGCACUAGGUGUGGGGGACAUUCCACGUUUUCCGCGCCGUAGCUAACGCAUUAAGUGCCCCGCCUGGGGAGUACGGCCGCAAGGCUAAAACUCAAAGAAAUUGACGGGGGCCCGCACAAGCGGCGGAGCAUGCGGAUUAAUUCGAUGCAACGCGAAGAACCUUACCAAGGCUUGACAU